UGGGUAUGUUUUUCGUCCAAGAUAUAUUUGAUAAAAAUCUUGCACGAUUUACAUACUCACA
rnacentral:pre_miRNA from 1 species